rnacentral:rRNA from 1 species
UAGGUAAUCUUCCGCAAUGGGCGAAAGCCUGACGGAGCAACGCCGCGUGAGUGAUGAAGGUCUUCGGAUCGUAAAACUCUGUUAUUAGGGAAGAACAAAUGUGUAAGUAACUAUGCACGUCUUGACGGUACCUAAUCAGAAAGCCACGGCUAACUACGUGCCAGCAGCCGCGGUAAUACGUAGGUGGCAAGCGUUAUCCGGAAUUAUUGGGCGUAAAUCGCGCGUAGGCGGUUUUUUAAGUCUGAUGUGAAAGCCCACGGCUCAACCGUGGAAGAGCAUUGGAAACUGGAAAAAUUGAGUGCAGAAGGGGAAAGUGGAAUUCCAUGUGGAGCGGUGAAAUGCGAGGAGAUAUGGAGGCACUCCAGUGGCGAAGGCAACUUUCUGGUCUGUAACUGAAGCUGAUGUGCGAAAGCGUGGGGAUCAAACAGG